rnacentral:rRNA from 1 species
GACGAACGCUGGCGGCGUGCUUAACACAUGCAAGUCGAACGCUGAAGCUUGGUGCUUGCACUGGGUGGAUGAGUGGCGAACGGGUGAGUAAUACGUGAGUAACCUGCCCUUGACUCUGGGAUAAGCCUGGGAAACUGGGUCUAAUACUGGAUACGACAAGUCACCGCAUGGUGGUGUGUGGAAAGGGGUUUACUGGGUUUGGAUGGGCUCACGGCCUAUCAGCUUGUUGGUGGGGUAAUGGCGCACCAAGGCGACGACGGGUAGCCGGCCUGAGAGGGUGGCCGCCCCCCCUGGGACUGCGGGACGGCCCAGAGUGCUACGGUGGGCAGCAGUCGCGAGUAUUGCCCAGUGGGCGGACGCCUAAUGCAGCGGCCCCGCGUGUGGGAUGACGGCCUUCGGGUUGUAAACAGCUUUCAGCUCAGACGAAGCGAAAGUGACGGUACGUGCAGAAGAAGCGCCGGCUAACUACGUG